UGCCUACGGGUGGCAGCAGUGGGGAAUAUUGGACAAUGGGCGAAAGCCUGAUCCAGCCAUGCCGCGUGGGUGAAGAAGGCCUUAGGGUUGUAAACCCCUUUCAGCGGGGAAGAUAAUGACGGUACCCGCAGAAGAAGUCCCGGCUAACUCCGUGCCAGCAGCCGCGGUAAUACGGAGGGGACUAGCGUUGUUCGGAAUUACUGGGCGUAAAGCGCGCGUAGGCGGAUUUGCAAGUCGGGGGUGAAAGCCCGAGGCUCAACCGCGGAACUGCCCUAGAUACUGCAAAUCUCGAGUCCGAGAGAGGUGAGUGGAAUUCCUAGUGUAGAGGUGAAAUUCGUAGAUAUUAGGAAGAACACCAGUGGCGAAGGCGGCUCACUGGCUCGGUACUGACGCUGAGGCGCGAAAGCGUGGGGAGCAAACAGGAUUAGAUACCCUAGUAGUC
rnacentral:rRNA from 1 species